GGCGAGGCUCAGCGUAGGGGACCAAGUUCACCCCAGGGCUGAGGCAAUAAUACAUCAUCCAUGGGCCGUUUAGGGCCUCUCGGCUCUGGCCAACUUUCUGGCUUGAACAGAGAGUGGUUCGUCCUGUUUGGGCCCGACUCAGUUUCCAAAUUCGAGGUGGUGGUCCGAGGUCCAGGAACUCAGAAAGAGGCCACUGGAGCAGUUUUACAGCCGCUUGGAGCACCUUGGGGCCACUCCUCUCGGGGGCUUGGGUUACAGUCAGGCGACCACCCGCCAGGCAGGAGAUGGCUCUUCCUGGGGCCCUGCUUCCCCUUGUCUCCCACAGUUGUAAGAGAUAGGGCAGCCGUGGGAGGGGAGGGCUGGGCGUGCCUGUAACCCAGACUCAGCGCACAGCCCCAGCAGUGUGUGGAACUGGGUCCCAGUCUCACAGCAGGUGCGAGCAGCACCAAGGUUUUCCUGUCGGGCUUUGGAGGGCCACAGUUUUCCUGGACAGAAAUCACACAUUGUCUCCCACCACCACUCUGACGUGCACACAGCUCACGCGUGUGCAAACCCAGCGCCAAGCUCCUGCUCCAGACCUGGGCAGCCCGACAGCCGAGGCAGACGGCCGUCGUCAAGUUUCUUCUCUCAGUCUUGCUGUCCUCAGCUGUGCUAGUGAGGCUGAGGUUACGGGUGGGUUCCGCUGGUGGACUGGACUUCACCCUCUUUUGUGGUCACAGGUGUCGCUGUCCACCUGCACCGGAGCAGACCUCACUUAGACUGUGCACAGCUCCAGACAGGCCCUUCCCCACCAGCCUGCUCCUUACCGCUGAGACUGACACCAGGUCCCUUCAGCUAACCAGGUCCAUGCGCCUCAGCCCAAAGCAAGGCCAAGAAACCAUGAUGCUUUUCCAUUCCUGUAUCUGUGACUCCUCAACCUUGCAGUGCCCCAGUCUCCUGCAGACUCCUAAUCUGUAGAGCAAGCUGCAUUCUUGACUUCUCCACUUGGCUGUUUAACAGGUAUUUUGUCACAGUGAUGCAAAGCUGACUAACACAAUGACUCUGCCCCGAACUGAUGUGGAUCACUGGGAAGAAUUCCCAACUCGCCUUCCUCUCGAUGCGCUUGUCUCUCUGCAGCCUGGCCCUGGCCUCAACACACCAGCCUGAGCGAUGCCGUCCAAGUACAGUUUCCCACUUGGAAUGGAACCCAGCAAGGCCCUGUACACCCCACGGCCCUGCAGCCUCUGCCUCUGACUGUCCCAACCUCCCUCCUGCUCCUCGGCAUCCCAGGGGCUUAGGGGUUCUCACUCACUGCUCCCCACCGACACCCACCAGGCAGGCGUCCUUCCUCCCCGAGGCCUCACCUCAUCACCUUCCAGGGCUCCCUGGCUCCUGCUCUGUGGCGGCAUCACACCCAGCCCCUCUUCACCUGGCUUUCCCUCCUCAGAGCUCGUCACCAUCUGCAUUUAUGGGUUUGUUUACUGCUCGCUUUCCUGAUGCCCAACCAGAACUCAGGCCCCGUGCUGGCAGGGACUUUAGUCUGCUUUCUUUUCUCAGUACCUGGAAUAAUAAACAUUUGCUGAAUGAAUGAACAGCUGAAGCUGCAAUCCAGGAAGGCUCUGCACAGGGCUGGUGGGAGCAGUUUGUGGACAGCGGAGGGAACUGUGGGUAAAUGGCAGAGGUGGAGCCAUGCACCUGAAAAGAGGUGCAGACGCUGACACAGGAAGCUGAGGCAGGGCCCUGGGACCAUGGUAGAGGCUCAGGUCUGAGACUGAGUGUGACGGGGCUGUGGAUGGCCUUCAGCUGGGUGUCCCACCAGAGGGACCUGUGUGCAGCUGAUGGACACAUUGUGGUUAUCGCCGGAGCCCGUGUGUAUGUCGGAUUUCACACUUGAUGGGUUUGGGCAAAUGGAUAAUGACACACGGAAAGGCUGCAUGGCCGCAAAUGUCCUCUGGGCCUGCUCUGCACCUCCUUCCCCGAUCUCCUUGCACUGUCUGCAGGGCUGUGCCUUUUCAGCAUUGUCAUGAAUGCAGGGAAAGUCACGCAGUGUGAAAUGACAUCACACCCCAUUAGCCAUUCUCACUUGGAAUGUGCUGUAAGUUUGGCCUGCCUCCCUUCAUGGCUUAAUACUUCAUUUCCUUUCAGCGCUGAAUAAUAUUCCAAUUCCUUUAUCCAUUCACUCACCGAGGGCAUCUUGACCAGUUUCAAGUUUUAUCAGUUAUGAAUAAAGUUCCUGUAAACGUUCAUGCACGGAUUCCUGCUUGAACAAUUUUCAGCUCCUUGAGGUCUGUGUCCAGGAGGGUGACUGCUGGAUCGUAGGUCA